AAUCAUUGAAGUCACCACUAUUUAGGUUUGGUCAAGUUUUUAGUUCUAAUAUGGCUGGCGAUCCUUUGACAAGCUCUAAUGGCAAUGCUAAUGUAAAUGCACCACCUGAUCCUCGGAGGACUUAUCAAGUUGUUGUAGCUGCUACUGAAAAUAUGGGCAUUGGUAAGGAUGGGAAACUACCAUGGAGGUUGCCUUCUGAUCUCAGCUUUUUUAAAAACAUAACCACAACAACAUCCGAUCAUGGGAAA
rnacentral:misc_RNA from 1 species